AGUGAACGCUGGCGGUAGGCCUAACACAUGCAAGUCGAACGGCAGCACAGUAAGAGCUUGCUCUUACGGGUGGCGAGUGGCGGACGGGUGAGGAAUACAUCGGAAUCUACUUUUUCGUGGGGGAUAACGUAGGGAAACUUACGCUAAUACCGCAUACGACCUACGGGUGAAAGCAGGGGAUCUUCGGACCUUGCGCGAUUGAAUGAGCCGAUGUCGGAUUAGCUAGUUGGCGGGGUAAAGGCCCACCAAGGCGACGAUCCGUAGCUGGUCUGAGAGGAUGAUCGGCCACACUGGAACUUAGACACGGUCCAGGCUCCUACGGGAGGCAGCAGUGGGGAAUAUUGGACAAUGGGCGGAAGCCUGAUCCAGCCAUACCGCGUGGGUGAAGAAGGCCUUCGGGUUGUAAAGCCCUUUUGUUGGGAAAGAAAAGCAGCAGGUUAAUACCCCGCUGUUCUGACGGUACCCAAAGAAUAAGCACCGGCUAACUUCGUG
rnacentral:rRNA from 1 species